rnacentral:tRNA from 1 species
GGUUAGCUCAGUUGGUUAGAGCACCAGGCUGUUAACCUGGCUGUCACGGGUUCGACUCCCGUACCA